CUUACUAAAUAUUUAAAUUCACCCCUCCAAACAGACUUUUAAGAAAAAAAAACUUAAAAUAAGGGCAAUUGCUUAUCGACUUCUAAAAAUUUUUCAAGGCUAAUAUUAAAAUAUUUUCUUAACAUUUCAAGUUCUUCUAAAUAUAUUCCUAGAGUUAGAUUAUAUUAGUGAACUAUUAGAAAUAACUGUUAUCUCUGUAAAAUGACUAUAUUGCCAUUUCAAAUAUAUUCUUCAGCUGUCACCUUUUUCUUAUUUAUUAUUAAGUUAGAGACAAAAUUAUAUAUUUUGACUUUUUUUCUUUCAAAUAUAACUUUCUAUCAUUACUAUAUUUUCUUAUUUGUCCUCAGGUUAGGGGCCAAUAAGUUAUUUUGACUUUUUUCUAACUCUGGUAGAGAUUUAAUCCAAGAUGACUUAACGGAUACUGAUAUAAAGAGUAUGUUUAAAUAAUAGAAAAAUAUACAAGGGGUAUAUUUGAAAUUUAAAAAAAAGAAUAUAUCUAAUAUUUCAAAAAUUUUGAGGGGAAUAAAGAUAAUUAUCCCAAAAUAAUAAUUUCAGAAUCUUUUGAUUUAACUUAUUUUUACUUUGUCAUUAUGUGAUUUAAAAAUUACACUUAGCUAUCAUGUAGUUUGGCUCUUUUUUUUUUUGUCAUUCUAUUGCUCAAUAAAUUAUAUUUCGUCAAAAAAAUUAUAUAUUUUUAAAUA
rnacentral:lncRNA from 1 species